UUGAGUUGAAGUCUUGUUCAAAUGAAUCUGAGAAGCUAGAAAAAGCUUCGUUUCAGCAUUCUAGCUCCAGUGGGCUGUAAAGCUAUAAAGGCCCU
rnacentral:lncRNA from 1 species